GAUGAACGCUGGCGGCGUGCUUAACACAUGCAAGUCUAACGGAAAGGCCCUUGCUUGCAGGGGUACUCGAGUGGCGAACGGGUGAGUAACACGUGGGUGAUCUGCCCUGCACUUCGGGAUAAGCCUGGGAAACUGGGUCUAAUACCGGAUAGGACCAUCGUUUAGUGUCGGUGGUGGAAAGUUUUUUCGGUGUGGGAUGAGCUCGCGGCCUAUCAGCUUGUUGGUGGGGUAAUGGCCUACCAAGGCGUCGACGGGUAGCCGGCCUGAGAGGGUGUACGGCCACAUUGGGACUGAGAUACGGCCCAGACUCCUACGGGAGGCAGCAGUGGGGAAUAUUGCACAAUGGGCGCAAGCCUGAUGCAGCGACGCCGCGUGGGGGAUGACGGCCUUCGGGUUGUAAACUCCUUUCGUCAGGGACGAAGCGAAAGUGACGGUACCUGGAUAAGAAGCACCGGCUAACUACGUG
rnacentral:rRNA from 1 species